rnacentral:rRNA from 1 species
CCUUCCGUAGGUGAACCUGCGGAAGGAUCAUU